rnacentral:rRNA from 1 species
GAAGCGGCAACAGCUCAAAUUUGAAAUCUGGCGCGAGCCCGAGUUGUAAUUUGUAGAGGAUGCUUCAGGGCAGCGGCCGGUCUAAGUCUCUUGGAACGGGGCGUCAUAGAGGGUGAGAACCCCGUAUGCGACCGGUUGGCACCCGUCACGUAGCUCCUUCGACGAGUCGAGUUGUUUGGGAAUGCAGCUCUAAAUGGGAGGUAAAUUUCUUCUAAAGCUAAAUACCGGCCAGAGACCGAUAGCGCACAAGUAGAGUGAUCGAAAGAUGAAAAGCACUUUGGAAAGAGAGUUAAAAAGCACGUGAAAUUGUUGAAAGGGAAGCGCAUGCAACCAGACUUGUCGGCGGUGUUCCGCCGGUCUUCUGACCGGUCCAUUCGCCGCCGGCAGGCCAGCAUCAUCUGGGCGCGCCGGACAAAGGCGUGGGGAAUGUAGCUCCUCGGAGUGUUAUAGCCCCGCGCACAAUACGGCGCCGCCCGGGUGAGGUCCGCGCUUCGGCUAGGAUGCUGGCGUAAUGGUUGUCUGCGGCCCGUCUUGAAACACGGACCAAGGAGUCUAACAUCUAUGCGAGUGUUUGGGUGUCAAACCCCGACGCGUAAUGAAAGUGAACGGAGGUGGGAAGCGUGAGCUGCACCAUCGACCGAUCCUGAUGUCUUCGGAUGGAUUUGAGUAAGAGCAUAGCUGUUGGGACCCGAAAGAUGGUGAACUAUGCCUGGAUAGGGUGAAGCCAGAGGAAACUCUGGUGGA